rnacentral:lncRNA from 1 species
GUUUUUUUCCACAUGGCUCCUGUAGGUUGGAGGGACUUUGCAUUAGUCCGAAAUAGAUUGCUGAUGGACAGUGGAACUUCUGAACCCCAGAUCCCUGCAGCUAGCUCAUGCCAUACUUAAGAUCCUUCUCACACAGGGUUCUUCUCACAGGAACACUGCACCUUACGUACAGAAUCUACUUAUCAACAGUUAAAUCACCUUGCAGAGUGAGGCUCCUGGUUUAUGUGCUGUGCAACGUGGGGGCAGGACCCACGAGUUUAAAAGCAGAGGCAAGGACCUUUGUCACAGUGGCUGUGCCCUUGUGGCUCUGCUUGCCUGAUGCAUCAGAGACAAACAUGCAACUCCCCAUGUCCUGGCCAGCUUGGAAACUUGGCUGCUGAGCAGAAGACAGCCUCACAUAUAGUAAAGUUUGCUCAUGUACUGGCUGUUGGGAGCAGUAAAUGCCCUACCUCAGUGUGGAAUAUACCUGCACUGCCUACAGAGACCACAUGCACAACUCCAGGGCAGAGGAGGCGAUGGCACUCCUCACUCACUGGGUGUGAAGCUCAGGUAAGUCCUGUUGAUGAGGUACUUGAACAAACUCCUAAAAAAAAACACCUUUCAGCUGGAAUGUGGAAAAGAAACCAGAAGAAUGAGAAAACAGGAAUGCCUUUGCAAUAUUGGUAUGUAGUGCAAUGCUUUCUUUUCCUUUAUAAAGUGAUUAGCAUUCUGCUAAGGUCUUUAUUACAAUAG